AUUGAACGCUGGCGGCAGGCCUAACACAUGCAAGUCGAGCGGAUGACGGGAGCUUGCUCCUUGAUUCAGCGGCGGACGGGUGAGUAAUGCCUAGGAAUCUGCCUGGUAGUGGGGGACAACGUUUCGAAAGGAACGCUAAUACCGCAUACGUCCUACGGGAGAAAGCAGGGGACCUUCGGGCCUUGCGCUAUCAGAUGAGCCUAGGUCGGAUUAGCUAGUUGGUGGGGUAAUGGCUCACCAAGGCGACGAUCCGUAACUGGUCUGAGAGGAUGAUCAGGCACACUGGAACUGAGACACGGUCCAGACUCCUACGGGAGGCAGCAGUGGGGAAUAUUGGACAAUGGGCGAAAGCCUGAUCCAGCCAGGCCGCGUGUGUGAAGAAGGUCUUCGGAUUGUAAAGCACUUUAAGUUGGGAGGAAGGGCAGUAAGCUAAUACCUUGCUGUUUUGACGUUACCGACAGAAUAAGCACCGGCUAACUCUGUGCCAGCCGCCGCUGUAACAC
rnacentral:rRNA from 1 species